rnacentral:tRNA from 1 species
AAGCCUUAGUAAAUAUUUACUCCUUUAGAAUUGCAGUCUAACGUCAUUAUUGACUAUAAGGCC